GUCAAGGUGGUGGAGUGGUUAACACGUUCGCCUGCUAUUCCGAGUUUACUCUGAAAGUUAGCGGAUGCCUUCUGGGCGCGCAGGUUCGAAUCCUGUCCUUGACG